GAUGAACGCUGACAGAAUGCUUAACACAUGCAAGUCUUUGGCGAAGCUGUGCUCGCACAGCCUAGCCAAGGCGGACGGGUGAGUAACGCGUAAGGAACUUGCCCUGCAGUCAGGGAUAACAGACGGAAACGACUGAUAAGACCUGGUAAAGUCAGGCGGACUCAUGUCCAGCCUGAUGAAAAGAGAUGCUGCAGGAGAGCCUUGCGUCCUAUUAGCUUGUUGGUGGGGUAACGGCCACCAAGGCGAUGAUAGGUAGCCGGCCUGAGAGGGUGGACGGCCACAAGGGGACUGAGAUACGGCCCUUACUCCUACGGGAGGCAGCAGUGGGGAAUAUUGGACAAUGGGGGCAACCCUGAUCCAGCAAUUCUGUGUGCACGAUGAAGGUUUUCGGAUUGUAAAGUGCUUUCAGCAGGGAAGAAAAAAAUGACGGUACCUGCAGAAGAAGCGACGGCUAAAUACGUG
rnacentral:rRNA from 1 species